rnacentral:rRNA from 1 species
UACGAAGGGGGCUAGCGUUGCUCGGAAUCACUGGGCGUAAAGCGCACGUAGGCGGAUCUUUAAGUCAGGGGUGAAAUCCCAAGGCUCAACCUUGGAACUGCCUUUGAUACUGGGGAUCUCGAGUCCGGAGGAGGUGAGUGGAACUGCGAGUGUAGAGGUGAAAUUCGUAGAUAUUCGCAAGAACACCAGUGGCGAAGGCGGCUCACUGGUCCGGUACUGACGCUGAGGUGCGAAAGCGUGGGGAGCAAACAGG